rnacentral:rRNA from 1 species
UACGUAGGGGGCAAGCGUUGUCCGGAAUCAUUGGGCGUAAAGCGCGUGUAGGCGGCCUUGUAAGUCCGUUCUGAAAGCCCGGGGCUCAACCCCGGGAGGCGGAUGGAUACUGCAAGGCUCGAGUCCGGAAGAGGCAAGUGGAAUUCCCGGUGUAGCGGUGAAAUGCGCAGAUAUCGGGAGGAACACCAAUGGCGAAGGCAGCUUGCUGGGACGGUACUGACGCUGAGACGCUAAAGCGUGGGGAGCAAACAGG